GAAAUGCGAUAAGUAAUGUGAAUUGCAGAAUUCCGUGAAUCAUCAAAUCUUUGAACGCAAAUUGCACUCUUUGGUAUUCCGAGGAGUAUGCUUGUUUGAGGUAGUUCUAAUAAAGUCGGGUUUUUUUUAAAAAAACCCGGAUCUGAGUUUUCCGAGAUUUUUCGUAAUUUUGGUAACUUCAAAUUUAUUACGUCGUAUUUUUUGCCUAAUUCUACACCAAAUCAAGUAAGAAUACCCGCUGAACUUAA
rnacentral:misc_RNA from 1 species